UACGACGUAUCGACGAAACGUUAAAAUUUUCGGAAAGAACGCGGUAAGUUCUAUAGACCGUCCGAUUUUUGUCUUUGUAUGUCAAAAAUUGUUACCUACACAGUCGUUGAAAGUUGUCCCCCAUUCAUUUCCUAUGGGAAAAAAAAGCGUACGUUUACGAAGUUUUUACGAAAACCGUACGAUGUAUCGCUUAAAAAAGCACAAGCAACCUAUUCGGGUAUAGGUCCUACGAUACUGCAAAAUUUCGUGGUUCUACGUCAAAAGCCCUAGGAGGAGAUAGUGAUUAAAUUUUGAGCGCGGAAUAAUAAUAAUAAUAACUAGAAAAGGUAAAGUUCGUGAACGAACUUUAAGUUGGCUUGGAAAAGAACGCUAAUAACGUUAAAAAGUUAAAAUGGUUGCUAAGCUUUUUCUGUCUGAAGAGUGUGAAGAGUCAUUGAUAUGCUGUUAACGCUAAAUGCUAAAAACGCUGACAUCUAAAAACAUUUGGUUAAACGCUGAAAUCUAAAAACAUUUGGUUAAACGCUGAAAUCUAAAAAUGUUUGAUUAAACGCUGAAAUCUAAAAACGUUUGGUUAAACGAUGAAAUCUAAAAACAUUUGGUUACACGCUGAAAUCUAAAAACGUUUGAUUAAACGCUGACAUCUAAAAACGUUUGGUUAAACGCUGAAAUCUAAAAACGCUUGUUUAAAUGCUGAAAUCGUAAAACUUUUGGUUAAACUUUUGAUUGCUAAUGUGUUGCUAGGCGGUUGCUAUCAUUUCUGAAAAGGUUACUAAGCUGUUGCUAGGCAAUUGCUAAUGUUUUCCAGGUGGUUGCUAAGCUGUUGCUAACUGGUUGCUAGGCAAUUGCUAACAUAUAACAGGUGGUUGCUAAGGUGUUGCUAGGUGGUUGCUAGGGUGUUGCUAGGUUGUUGCUAAGGUGUUGCUAUGGUAUCCGGGGUGGUUGCUAAGAUGUUGCUAGGUGGUUGCUAACGUGUUGCUAGGUGGUUGCUAAGGUGUUGCUAUGGUAUCCAGGGUGGUUGCUAAUGUGUUGCUAGGUGGUUGCUAGGGUCUUGCUAGGUGGUUGCUAAGGUGUUGCUAUGGUAUCUGGGGUGGUUGCUAAGGUGUUGCUAGGUGGUUGCUAGGGUGUUGCUAGUUG